AUCCAGACUUACUUUCUUGCAAAACUACUCUUAUGGUAGCUUUUUUUUAAAAACUAUUAUUUUUUUCCUCCAGAAACUCCCACUAACCUAUCAGUGAUGAGGAGGUAAAGUGGCUUCUCUGGAGGACACAAAUUGUACCAAAGCCAGCAAAAUUGCCAUCAGGAAGGUGCAGCCUUACAGCUAGUUACUCCAGUCACUAGGGAUGUGACUUUCUGUGGACACAAGACCCCUGACACCAGUAUCCUAAGAAAUAGGUGUGUAAGGAGGGUUCUCUUCUCCCUUGUUGCAGGAUGACACAGCAGAACUUCUCAGGUAAUUCU
rnacentral:lncRNA from 1 species